CAGAAAAUAGUUUUAUUUAAAAUAUUAAUAUUGGGAAUUAAUGAAAAGAAGGUUUCUUUUUUCUGA
rnacentral:tRNA from 2 species